CCCUUAGAUGUUCUGGGCCGCACGCGCGCUACACUGAUGCAUUCAACGAGCCUAUCCUUGGCCGACAGGUCCGGGUAAUCUUUGAAUCUGCAUCGUGACGGGGAUAGAUUAUUGCAAUUAUUAAUCUUCAACGAGGAAUGCCUAGUAGGCGCAAGUCAUCAGCUUGCGUCGAUUACGUCCCUGCCCUUUGUACACACCGCCCGUCGCUCCUACCGAUUGGGUGUGCUGGUGAAAUGUUCGGAUCGGCCGUUUGUCGCGGUUUCCGCGGCUCGUGGCUGAGAAGUUCAUUAAACCCUCCCACCUAGAGGAAGGAGAAGUCGUAACA
rnacentral:rRNA from 1 species